rnacentral:rRNA from 1 species
AGUGAACGCUGGCGGUAGGCCUAACACAUGCAAGUCGAACGGCAGCACAGGAGAGCUUGCUCUCUAGGUGGCGAGUGGCGGACGGGUGAGGAAUACAUCGGAAUCUGCCCAGUCGUGGGGGAUAACGUAGGGAAACUUACGCUAAUACCGCAUACGACCUUCGGGUGAAAGAGGGGGAUCGCAAGACCUCUCGCGAUUGGAUGAGCCGAUGUCGGAUUAGCUAGUUAGCGGGGUAAUGGCCCACCAAGGCGACGGUCCGUAGCUGGUCUGAGAGGAUGAUCAGCCACACUGGAACUGAGACACGGUCCAGACUCCUACGGGAGGCAGCAGUGGGGAAUAUUGGACAAUGGGCGCAAGCCUGAUCCAGCCAUACCGCGUGGGUGAAGAAGGCCUUCGGGUUGUAAAGCCCUUUUGUUGGGAAAGAAAUCUUUCAGGCUAAUACCCUGGGAGGAUGACGGUACCCAAAGAAUAAGCACCGGCUAACUUCGUG